rnacentral:rRNA from 1 species
CGGAACGGGUGAGUAACGCGUGAGGAACCUGCCUCAAAGAGGGGGACAACAGUUGGAAACGACUGCUAAUACCGCAUAAGCCCACGGCUCGGCAUCGAGCAGAGGGAAAAGGAGCAAUCCGCUUUGAGAUGGCCUCGCGUCCGAUUAGCUAGUUGGUGAGGUAACGGCCCACCAAGGCAACGAUCGGUAGCCGGACUGAGAGGUUGAACGGCCACAUUGGGACUGAGACACGGCCCAG